rnacentral:rRNA from 1 species
GCCUGCAGCUAUAUCACCCUGCAGCUCUCAACUUGCUACGCACUGAAGUUAAGCAGGGUUAAGCCUGGUCAAUACCUGGAUAGGAGAUCUCCUAGGAAGCUAUGGUUGCUGCUGGAA